rnacentral:rRNA from 1 species
CCUACGUGAGGCAGCAGUGGGGAAUAUUGCACAAUGGGGGGAACCCUGAUGCAGCGACGCCGCGUGAGUGAAGAAGUAUUUCGGUAUGUAAAGCUCUAUCAGCAGGGAAGAAAAUGACGGUACCUGACUAAGAAGCCCCGGCUAACUACGUGCCAGCAGCCGCGGUAAUACGUAGGGGGCAAGCGUUAUCCGGAUUUACUGGGUGUAAAGGGAGCGCAGACGGCUGUGCAAGUCUGGAGUGAAAGGCGGGGGCCCAACCCCCGGACUGCUCUGGAAACUGUAAAGCUGGAGUGCAGGAGAGGUAAGCGGAAUUCCUAGUGUAGCGGUGAAAUGCGUAGAGAUUAGGAGGAACACCAGUGGCGAAGGCGGCUUACUGGACUGCAACUGACGUUGAGGCUCGAAAGCGUGGGGAGCAAACAGGAUUAGAUACCCUGGUAGUC